GACGAACGCUGGCGGCGUGCUUAACACAUGCAAGUCGAACGGAAAGGCCCUGCUUUUGUGGGGUGCUCGAGUGGCGAACGGGUGAGUAACACGUGAGUAACCUGCCCUUGACUUUGGGAUAACUUCAGGAAACUGGGGCUAAUACCGGAUAGGAGCUCCUGCUGCAUGGUGGGGGUUGGAAAGUUUCGGCGGUUGGGGCUGGACCCGCGGCUUAUCAGCUUGUUGGUGGGGUAGUGGCUUACCAAGGCUUUGACGGGUAGCCGGCCUGAGAGGGUGACCGGCCACAUUGGGACUGAGAUACGGCCCAGACUGCGACGGGAGGCAGCAGUGGGGAAUAUUGCACAAUGGGCGGAAGCCUAAUGCAGCAACGCCGCGUGCGGGAUGACGGCCUGCGGGUUGUAAACCGCUUUCGCCUGUGACGAAGCGUGAACGACGGUAAUGGGUAAAGAAGCACCGGCUAACUACGUG
rnacentral:rRNA from 1 species